GUGCUUUAGGUAUGAACUAGUCCCUCGUAUCUAAUAUCCAUCUGCUCACUUUGUCAGUUGCCUUUUUCCUGUGGCAUUCUGAUCAUUAUAAGAUGGAAAAUGU